rnacentral:rRNA from 1 species
UACGGAAGGUGCGAGCGUUAAUCGGAAUUACUGGGCGUAAAGCGCACGUAGGUGGUUUUAUAAGUCGGAUGUGAAAGCCCCGGGCUUAACCUGGGAAUUGCAUCCGAGACUGUCUGACUUGAGUAUGCUAGAGGGAAGUGGAAUUCCAGGUGUAGCGGUGAAAUGCGUAGAUAUGUGGAGGAACACCGAUGGCGAAGGCAGCCUUCUGGGCCAACACUGACGCUCAUGCACGAAAGCGUGGGGAGCAAACAGG